CCAAGCGUUUCGGCCGGCGCGCCGCAUGUAAACAGUUCCCUUUGGUUAAGUACCGGUUAGAGAAGAAAAAUCGAAGGAAAAUGUUUGAAAACGGUGUGCCCGCCGAAGCUUCGGCCCGUCACGCCGCGUAGCUCGCUUUAGUUUUUCUCUCCACGUGACUACGUGAGAAUUUGGGACCACCCAUCGCCUAUCUCUUCAUCUUAUCUCUCCAGAACACACUACAACCAUUCGUUCCCCUCAAGUCUCUCUCCUCCCAAUCCCAAUCUCGUCAGCCAUGGCACGACCAUCCCCCCGACGAGCAGCUCCUUCCAUGGUGCUCGUGUGGAUCCUACCUCUCCACGGCUGUGACGCUCAUCACCUUGUCCGCCUCCGCCGGCAGCUGGACACGCGCCCUCUCCAUGGCCGUCGCAACUAGGGUGCUUCGAUCGCCAUGGCCAAGCUGCACCCGGCCCCGGCAACGGCGGCGAGUUUGUGCUGGAACCGAGGGGCUUUGCUGGAACAGGCUGGUGUAUGUGCUACAAGGUUGGUGCCUCGCCAGGGAAGCUACAUCCAGCAGCAAGGAGUGUUGUAUCCAACGUUGUUCGAAUGUCGGGAGCUGCAAUCGUGCACGCCGGAGCUCCAACCGGUUACUGGGGGAGCUGCAAGAGAGGAUGGCCAUUUUUUGUUGAUGCAUUUUUUGCUGAACCAAUUUUUUGUUUUUGUUGGAACCGGUGUAUUUUUUUGCUGGAACCAAGAUAAUUUUUUGCUUCA